rnacentral:other from 1 species
AGUCAUCUGAGUUGUUCGUAAGUUUGCUUUUUAAUUUGGGCCUAACACUCUUUGAUCAAGAGCCCAAUGGGUUUUCUUGCAGCGUACACGCCUUAUAUGAAGGACGUACAAAACAAGAAACAGGGCACCCACCUGUAUAUAACAGGCCGAAUGAUCAAGCUAUUAUAACUACGGCAAUACGGACUCUAU